GACGAACGCUGGCGGCGUGCCUAAUACAUGCAAGUCGAACGAGACGACCGGUGCUUGCACUGGUCAAUCUAGUGGCGAACGGGUGAGUAACACGUGGGUAACCUGCCCAUCAGAGGGGGAUAACAUUCGGAAACGGAUGCUAAAACCGCAUAGGUCCUUUAACCGCAUGGUUGAAGGAGGAAAAGAGGCGCAAGCUUCUGCUGAUGGAUGGACCCGCGGUGCAUUAGCUAGUUGGUGAGGUAACGGCUCACCAAGGCCGUGAUGCAUAGCCGACCUGAGAGGGUGAUCGGCCACAUUGGGACUGAGACACGGCCCAAACUCCUACGGGAGGCAGCAGUAGGGAAUCUUCCGCAAUGGACGCAAGUCUGACGGAGCAACGCCGCGUGAGUGAAGAAGGUUUUCGGAUCGUAAAACUCUGUUGUUAGAGAAGAACAAGUGCUAGAGUAACUGUUAGCGCCUUGACGGUAUCUAACCAGAAAGCCACG
rnacentral:rRNA from 1 species